rnacentral:rRNA from 1 species
CAGCCGUAAACGAUGCACGUUAGGUGUAUCGAUGACCACGAGUCAUCGAGGUGCCGAAGGGAAACCGUGAAACGUGCCGCCUGGGAAGUACGGUCGCAAAGGCUGAAACUUAAAGGAAUUGGCGGGGGAGCACCACAACAGGUGGAGCCUGCGGUUUAAUCGGACCCAACGCCGGAAAUCUCACCGGAUAAGACAGCUGAAUGAUAGUCGGGCUGAAGACUCUACUUGACUAGCUGAGAGGUGGUGCAUGGCAUCAGUGACU